GUCCCGUUCGUCUAGUGGCCUAGGACGCCAGGAUUUCAUCCUGGAAACAGGUAGUUCGAAUCUCCUACGGGACGCCA
rnacentral:tRNA from 1 species